ensembl:lncRNA
AAGGACUCACUCUGAAGACUUUUCCAAACAACACUUUGAACAGGUAAGAUGUAUUCCAAAGAAUUUAACAUAAAGACAGGAAUGAUGAGGUAUGUUCACUCCUAAACUGCACCUGAGUUAUUCUGAUAUGGCUUUUCCUCGAACAUGUGUAUGAACUGCUGCUGGUCGAUGACAAUAUACCUAUAACUUAACAACCUGUAACUCUACUUUCAUAAAUAGGUUUCCCCAUCUCCUCCCAUACCAUGGGCCAGAGGAGCAUGACCACCUGGGUGAGGAGUUUCUGAAUUAUCAGACCAUGCCAACCACCUCCCUUCAGGACGAAACUGAGAUGGAAAGCUUCUGGGCUGGAAUGGCAACACGGAAACAUAAGGUGGCAGGAACUAAAGAAUUUGAGAGGCUUGUUGCCGUCGCCAAGCUGGUCCUGGUGUUGCCCCAUUCGAAUGCAGAUGCUGAGAGGGUGUUUUCAGUGUUCAGUGGGACUGAACAAAACUAAGACCAGAAAUAGCCUGGCAUUGGAUGGCACCCUGUCUUCAAUAAUGGCCAUAAAGAUGGCCGACCUGGAGCCCUGUUUCAGAUGGGAGCCCCCCUCAGAGGUCAUCAAGGCCUCCAAGAAGGCCACAGGCCAGUACAACCUUGCCCACAGAUCUUAGAAAAUGACUAACCAGGUUCUGAUCUGCACCUGAUACCUCAUUUUUAGUUAUUUUUGUCAUGUGUUGAUCUAUUUUAUUGCUUAAA